rnacentral:rRNA from 1 species
AUUGAACGCUGGCGGCAGGCCUAACACAUGCAAGUCGAGCGGAUGAGGGGAGCUUGCUCUCUGAUUCAGCGGCGGACGGGAGAGUAAUGCCUAGGAAUCUGCCUGGUAGUGGGGGACAACGUUUCGAAUGGAACGCUAAUACCGCAUACGUCCUACGGGAGAAAGUGGGGGAACUUCGGACCUCACGCUAUCAGACGAGCCUAGGUACGAUUAGCUAGUUGGUGAGGUAAAGGCUCACCAAGGCGACGAUCGUUAACUGGUCUGAGAGGAUGAUCAGUCACACUGGAACUGAGACACGGUCCAGACUCCUACGGGAGGCAGCAGUGGGGAAUUUUGGACAAUGGGCGAAAGCCUGAUCCAGCCAUGCCGCGUGUGUGAAGAAGGUCU